rnacentral:tRNA from 1 species
GUCCUCGUGGCGCAAUUGGAUAGCGCGUUGGCCUCCGAAGCCAAAGGUUGCAGGUUCGAAUCUUGCCGGGGACG